CUAAUCUUGAGGGAUGUUUAAUUUUUAAGUCUCAGUCAUGCUAAGAGCAAAGGAAGUUAUGUUUUGUCUGGAAGCUCCGCCCACUGGGAGCAGCUCUUUGAAAACGUCACCGAGGGCGCCAUUUUUUCAAUUCGGUCGUUUAAUUCAUCAGUCUGGACAGCUCUUCACACAGUAAAGGUAUUUGGUGUUCCUCCAGUUGAGAUCUCCACUUCGUACCUUAGGCCCGUAAAUGGAUGAUGACGUUGAUGUUCGGCGGGAAUGCAUACUCAAGGGGCUCUGUGUGUACCUCAGUGAAGACCCGGAAAAAUGAGCGAGAGAAUACACUGAGCAGAAGACAAAGACCUGAACCAAGGAGCCAUUGGGGAGACCAUGGUGGGAUUACGUGAGAUGCCACUGAUGGACCAGAGGACAUUGGGAUUUUCCUAGAAGGCCAGGUGGUUCUGCAUGAUCUGGACAACGUUGCCUUAGCUGCUGCCAUGUUGUAUGGACUAAUGUAUGCCUUGAACCUCAACUACCCUCCUGAACUUAAGUACUCUUUGAAAGUGCCCCAGAAAGUUGUGAUGGUGCUGGACGACAACACACUGUUAAAGAAAGCCCAGGGACUCAAAAACAAACUAAGUGAGCUGGAUACAACAGUACCCUUUCUACUUGGAACAUGGACCAUUGCUGCUUUUUUUUUAUUGGAUUGGACUUUUGACACUUACGCAACCUACUUGUGCUGACUUUAUGUAUUUGUUUACUGCAAGUGUAGUGUAUUUGUUUCAGCAGAUUAUUUCUCUCAGGGCCAUGUAUGGCAAAAUGUAUCUCUUUCAUUUUAUGUCAGCUUUGUCAGAUGUGGGAGAGAUCCCAACAGCUUCCCCUAUUUUAAAAUGUCGAGGUGAUUUUGUUUUUUUGCACAUUCGUAACUGAAAUAUAGAAGUGGUGGGAAAGCAAUUACUCCUUAAUUCUAUUACUCUUUAAUUCCAGAACCCUUGCAGUUAAAGGAGCACAAUAACUUUCCAAGCACUGGAUUUACAUUUACCAGAGUGUAAUGAUUUCAUUACAUUUGUCUUUUUUGUUGUUAAGAGGGUGUAAAUGUAGUGGAUGUAUUUUGCACUUUUUUGCAUAAUUUCUGCAUUAAUCUGGUUGUAGUAUAAUUCCCUAUUGAUGCUGGUUUGAUGUCAUUCAGAAGGUUUUUAAUGACCUACAGUGUUGCCUCAGGUUGUAGCAGAAUGUUUACAAUGCACUCUUGAUAACUUGGCUACCAAGUGGAAAAAGGUGAUUUGUUUUAAUGUGAGAAUGGUUUGUAUAUGUAUGCCUUUAUUUGUGUAUAAAUUGCAUUGAACCGA